GACGAACCGAGCGAACGUUGUUCGGAAUCACUGGGCUUAAAGGGCGCGUAGGCGGACUGCCGCGUCCGGGGUGAAAUCCCACGGCUCAACCGUGGAACGGCCCCGGAUACGGGCGGUCUCGAGGGAGGUAGGGGCAUGCGGAACUACGGGUGGAGCGGUGAAAUGCGUUGAUAUCCGUGGGAACUCCGGUGGCGAAGGCGGCGUGCUGGACCUCACCUGACGCUGAGGCGCGAAAGCCAGGGGAGCAAACGGG
rnacentral:rRNA from 2 species